rnacentral:lncRNA from 1 species
GGUACCUCAGCUGGUAAACAUCUCAGCAGGGCGAGUAAUGAAUGGGGCUCCUUGAGCUGAGUGCUGGCAGGCAAUGAGUGCAGAGACACAGGUGACCAGGCCGAGCGUCACUGAGAUUUGUAGAUUUGGACCUUGCAACAUUCAGUUGCUUUCUGGUACGGCACAGGAAAUGCAGGCAGCAUGGGGCUGCGGGGAGGCUGCACCCAAGCUCAGGGAAAGGCCCCCUGUUGGAGCAGCGCUGCCAGCAAAGUAAGGUCCUCUGCUCUGCCACAGAUGAACUAAAAACUCUACAAAACAGUCGUGCAGUGCUUGAGAGAG